rnacentral:rRNA from 1 species
AACAACGAAACUGCCUCGGGGAGCUGUAAGCAAGCUUUGAUCCGGGGGUGUCCGAAUGGGGAAACCCAGCUGUGGUAAUUCGCAGUUACUCAUUUCUGAAUACAUAGGAAAUGUAGAGGCAGACCAGGGGAACUGAAACAUCUAAGUACCCUGAGGAAGAGAAAACAAUAGUGAUUCCGUCAGUAGCGGCGAGCGAACGCGGAACAGCCUAAACCUAAGAGCUUGCUCUUAGGGGUUGUGGGACGUCUCACAUGGAGUUACAAAGGAAUAUGGUAGGUGAAGAGGUCUGGAAAGGCCCGCGAUAGAGGUAAAAGCCCUGUAACCUAAACUGUGUUCUCUCCGAGACGGAUCCCGAGUAGUGCGGGGCACGUGAAACCCCGUAUGAAUCCAGCAGGACCAUCUGCUAAGGCUAAAUACUACCUGGCGACCGAUAGUGAAACAGUACCGUGAGGGAAAGGUGAAAAGCACCCCGGAAGGGGAGUGAAAUAGAACCUGAAACCGUGUGCUUACAAAAAGUCAGAGCCCUAUUAAUGGGUGAUGGCGUGCCUUUUGUAGAAUGAACCGGCGAGUUACGUUUAACAUGCAAGGUUAAGCCGAGAAGGUGGAGCCGCAGCGAAAGCGAGUCUGAAUAGGGCGAAUUAGUAUGUGGACGUAGACCCGAAACCGUGUGAUCUACCCCUGUCCAGGGUGAAGGUGCGGUAACACGCACUGGAGGCCCGAACCCACGUACGUUGAAAAGUGCGGGGAUGAGGUGGGGGUAGCGGAGAAAUUCCAAUCGAACUCGGAGAUAGCUGGUUCUCCCCGAAAUAGCUUUAGGGCUAGCCUCGGUAUAAGAGUAGUGGAGGUAGAGCACUGAUUGGGUGCGGGGUCCGCAAGGAUUACCAAGCUCAGUCAAACUCCGAAUGCCAUAUACUUAUUGCCGGGAGUCAGACAGUGAGUGCUAAGAUCCAUUGUCAAAAGGGAAACAGCCCAGACCAUCAGCUAAGGUCCCCAAGUGUGUGUUAAGUGGGAAAGGAUGUGGAGUUGCACAGACAACCAGGAUGUUGGCUUAGAAGCAGCCACCAUUGAAAGAGUGCGUAAUAGCUCACUGGUCGAGUGACUCUGCGCCGAAAAUGUAACGGGGCUAAACACACCACCGAAGCUAUGGCUAGAUACGUAUGUAUCUGGGGUAGGGGAGCGUUGUGUAGGGGUUGAAGGUGUACUGAAAAGAGCGCUGGACACUACACAAGUGAGAAUGCCGGUAUGAGUAACGAAAAGAUCAGUGAGAAUCUGAUCCGCCGAAAGCCCAAGGUUUCCUGAGGAAGGCUCGUCCGCUCAGGGUAAGUCGGGACCUAAGGCGAGGCCGAAAGGCGUAGUCGAAGGACAACAGUUUGAAAUUACUGUACCACCGUAAUCCGCUAUGAGCGAUGGGGUGACGCAGGAGGGUAGUGACGCGGACUGAUGGAUGUCCGUCUAAGCAGUGAGGCUGAUGUGUAGGCAAAUCCGCACAUCAUUAAGGCUGGGCUGUGAUGGGGAGCGAAAAUUGUAGUAG